UUAGCAUAUAGCCUAUUAAAAAAGAAAACAAAACACGAAUUAACCUUAAAGAAAAACAGAAACGAGAAGGAAGGGGGAGAUGUCAGCAGACCGCUCCUGUUGCGGUGACGGCUCAGGCGGUGAAGAGCCCUGUUCCAGAUCACGGGAGGUAAUAGCGCACCGGGUCGCGGCCAAACCGAAUUCAUCUGAGUGACAACUUCCUUAUCUACUAAGAAAAUCGGGCCUUUUGAAUUCUCAUCUGUCAUAUUUUGUGAACAGAUACGGGUACAGAGCACCAGAACGUUCUGCUACACACGGAGGUAUGAUGCCUGUUUCGUGGAAAACCCCUGUCUCGAGUGAAAAAGCCUGAAAGAGAUUCACCUUCAAAGGAAUUGCCCAACAACGACCUGAUCUCUAAUGGCUCUAGGUGAACCAGCGUGGUAUAUCUGGCCGAUAUAUUUACACAUCUCAAUGAGGUGAAUUAAUAAGGAUCAAAGAAGAAGUAUCUCGACUGCUACAGAAAAACUGCUGCAAGCUAAUAUGAGCAUCAAUGAGCUGGCUACUGCUUGUUAGAUCUAAUUUCUGCACAUCUAGAGACGUUUCAAG
rnacentral:lncRNA from 1 species